GGUCCUCUGACAGGAAAGACCAAAGACAUGGCAGGCAGGAAAUUCCAGGACCCAUUAGAAAUCAUGUGGCAAAUGCUGAAGGAAUGUCUGCAGAGAAGACAAGAAAUGAAAGGAGAGCCUGCGGAGAAAGAAGCAUUUCCCGGAGGAAGCAGUGGUUGCAUGCCAGCCUCAGCUCCAGGAAGGGAGGCCAUGCCAGGCACAGGCACAGGAGAUGAGGGUGCUGGGAAGGCUUCUCCAUCAGCUUGGAUGAAUAAAGUUUUGAAGCCCUUGGAGCCUCCUGCAGAUGUGUCUACAGGGAAGACUUCUCCAGCUUCUCCGGCUGCUACCUUGGAUGCUGCACUCAAGCCCAGCUCCCAUCUCAGGGGUACUCCAACAGGGAAAAUCCAAGAUACAACAGAUAAGAUAUCCCUGGAACCAUCCAAACAGAUGAGGCAAGAGCUGAAGGAACCCCUGCAGACAAGAGAAG